AUGUGCCUCAGCCUGCUGUGCUGUGUGGCCCUUUUUCUCUGGGGAGCAGGCUGCAUGGACACUGAGGUCACCCAGAGUCCUGGACAUCUGGUCAAAGGAAAAGAACAGAAAGCAAAGAUGCAUUGUGUCCCCAGAAAAGGACAUACUCAUGUUUACUGGUAUCGUAAGAAGCUAGAAAAAGGGUUUGAGUUUUUGGUUUACUUACAGAACGAAGACGUUGUGGAUGACACAGAUGUGUUCAAACAGCGAUUUUCAGCUCACUGCCCCCGAAACUCACCCUGCAGCCUGGAAGUCAAGUCCACUGAGGCAGGGGACUCAGCACUGUAUUUCUGUGCCAGCAGCUAA